UGGGGAAUUGUUCGCAAUGGGCGCAAGCCUGACGACGCAACGCCGCGUGGAGGAUGAAGACCUUCGGGUCGUAAACUCCUUUCGAUCGAGACGCGGUACCGAGAGAAGAAGCCCCGGCUAACUCCAUGCCAGCAGCCGCGGUAAAACCGGUUACUCCUAC
rnacentral:rRNA from 1 species